GGCGGAACACGUGAAAUUCCGUCGGAAUCCGGGAGGACCAUCUCCCAAGGCUAAAUACUCCCUAGUGACCGAUAGUGAACCAGUACCGUGAGGGAAAGGUGAAAAGCACCCCGGAAGGGGAGUGAAACAGUUCCUGAAACCGUGUGCCUACAAGUAGUUAGAGCCCGUUAAUGGGUGAUAGCGUGCCUUUUGUAGAAUGAACCGGCGAGUUACGAUUUGUUGCAAGGUUAAGCGGAAAAAGCGGAGCCGUAGCGAAAGCGAGUCUGAAUAGGGCGCAUAAGUAACAGGUCGUAGACCCGAAACCAGGUGAUCUACCCAUGUCCAGGAUGAAGGUAAGGUAAUACUUACUGGAGGUCCGAACCCACGCACGUUGAAAAGUGCGGGGAUGAGGUGUGGGUAGCGGAGAAAUUCCAAUCGAACUUGGAGAUAGCUGGUUCUCUCCGAAAUAGCUUUAGGGCUAGCCUCGAGGUAAAGAGUCAUGGAGGUAGAGCACUGUUUGGACUAGGGGCCCUUCUCGGGUUACCGAAUUCAGAUAAACUCCGAAUGCCAUGUACUUAUACUCGGGAGUCAGACUGCGAGUGAUAAGAUCCGUAGUCGAAAGGGAAACAGCCCAGACCACCAGUUAAGGUCCCCAAAUAUAUGUUAAGUGGAAAAGGAUGUGGGGUUGCUUAGACAACCAGGAUGUUGGCUUAGAAGCAGCCACCAUUGAAAGAGUGCGUAAUAGCUCACUGGUCGAGUGACCCCGCGCCGAAAAUGUACCGGGGCUAAACAUAUUACCGAAACUGUGGAUGAACCUCUUUAGAGGUUCGUGGUAGGAGAGCGUUCUAAGGCGGUGAAGUCAGACCGGAAGGACUGGUGGAGCGCUUAGAAGUGAGAAUGCCGGUAUGAGUAGCGAAAGAAGGGUGAGAAUCCCUUCCACCGAAUAUCUAAGGUUUCCUGAGGAAGGCUCGUCCGCUCAGGGUUAGUCGGGACCUAAGCUGAGGCCGAUAGGCGUAGGCGAUGGACAACAGGUAGAGAUUCCUGUACCAGUGCUAAUUGUUUAACCGAUGGGGUGACACAGAAGGAUAGGGAAUCGCACGAAUGGAAAUGUGCGUCCAAGCAGUGAGUGUGAGAAGUAGGCAAAUCCGCUUCUCGCGAAGCAUGAGCUGUGAUGGGGAAGGAAAUUAAGUACGGAAGUUCCUGAUUUCACGCUGUCAAGAAAAGCCUCUAGGAAGAGUAGUACUGCCCGUACCGCAAACCGACACAGGUAGAUGAGGAGAGAAUCCUAAGGUGAGCGAGAGAACUCUCGUUAAGGAACUCGGCAAAAUGACCCCGUAACUUCGGGAGAAGGGGUGCUCUAUUAGGGUGCAAGCCCGAGAGAGCCGCAGUGAAUAGGCCCAGGCGACUGUUUAGCAAAAACACAGGUCUCUGCAAAACCGUAAGGUGACGUAUAGGGGCUGACGCCUGCCCGGUGCUGGAAGGUUAAGAGGAGUGCUUAGCUUCGGCGAAGGUACGAAUUGAAGCCCCAGUAAACGGCGGCCGUAACUAUAACGGUCCUAAGGUAGCGAAAUUCCUUGUCGGGUAAGUUCCGACCCGCACGAAAGGCGCAACGAUCUGGGCACUGUCUCAACGAGAGACUCGGUGAAAUUAUAGUACCUGUGAAGAUGCAGGUUACCCGCGACAGGACGGAAAGACCCCGUGGAGCUUUACUGCAACCUGAUAUGGAAUGUUUGUACCGCUUGUACAGGAUAGGUAGGAGCCGAAGAGACGUGUGCGCUAGCAUACGAGGAGGCAAUGGUGGGAUACUACCCUGGCUGUAUGACCAUUCUAACCCGCCACGCUUAGCGCGUGGGGAGACAGUGUCAGGUGGGCAGUUUGACUGGGGCGGUCGCCUCCUAAAGAGUAACGGAGGCGCCCAAAGGUUCCCUCAGAAUGGAUGGAAAUCAUUCGCAGAGUGUAAAGGCACAAGGGAGCUUGACUGCGAGACUGACAAGUCGAGCAGGGACGAAAGUCGGGCUUAGUGAUCCGGUGGUUCCGCAUGGAAGGGCCAUCGCUCAACGGAUAAAAGCUACCCCGGGGAUAACAGGCUUAUCUCCCCCAAGAGUCCACAUCGACGGGGAGGUUUGGCACCUCGAUGUCGGCUCGUCGCAUCCUGGGGCUGUAGUCGGUCCCAAGGGUUGGGCUGUUCGCCCAUUAAAGCGGCACGCGAGCUGGGUUCAGAACGUCGUGAGACAGUUCGGUCCCUAUCCGUCGCGGGCGCAGGAAAUUUGAGAGGAGCUGUCCUUAGUACGAGAGGACCGGGAUGGACACACCGCUGGUGUACCAGUUGUUCCGCCAGGAGCAUCGCUGGGUAGCUAUGUGUGGCAGGGAUAAACGCUGAAAGCAUCUAAGCGUGAAGCCCCCCUCAAGAUGAGAUUUCCCAUUUCUUCGGAAAGUAAGAUCCCUGAAAGAUGAUCAGGUAGAUAGGUUUGGAGUGGAAGUGUAGCGAUACAUGGAGCGGACAAAUACUAAUCGAUCGAGGACUUAACCAAAA
rnacentral:rRNA from 1 species